rnacentral:rRNA from 1 species
GAUGAACGCUGGCGGCGUGCCUAAUACAUGCAAGUCGAACGCACAGCGAAAGGUGCUUGCACCUUUCAAGUGAGUGGCGAACGGGUGAGUAACACGUGGACAACCUGCCUCAAGGCUGGGGAUAACAUUUGGAAACAGAUGCUAAUACCGAAUAAAACUCAGUGUCGCAUGACACAACGUUAAAAGGAGAUUUAGCGUCACCUAGAGAUGGAUCCGCGGUGCAUUAGUUAGUUGGUGGGGUAAAGGCCUACCAAGACAAUGAUGCAUAGCCGAGUUGAGAGACUGAUCGGCCACAUGGGGACUGAGACACGGCCCAAACUCCUACGGGAGGCUGCAGUAGGGAAUCUUCCACAAUGGGCGAAAGCCUGAUGGAGCAACGCCGCGUGUGUGAUGAAGGCUUUCGGGUCGUAAAGCACUGUUGUAUGGGAAGAACAGCUAGAAUAGGGAAUGAUUUUAGUUUGACGGUACCAUACCAGAAAGGGACGGCUAAAUACGUGCCAGCCGCCGCCGUAA